rnacentral:rRNA from 1 species
AUUGAACGCUGGCGGCAGGCCUAACACAUGCAAGUCGAGCGGAUGAAGGGAGCUUGCUCCUGGAUUCAGCGGCGGACGGGUGAGUAAUGCCUAGGAAUCUGCCUGGUAGUGGGGGAUAACGUCCGGAAACGGGCGCUAACACCGCGUACGUCCUGAGGGAGAAAGUGGGGGAUCUUCGGACCUCACGCUAUCAGAUGAGCCUAGGUCGGAUUAGCUAGUUGGUGGGGUAAAGGCCUAACAAGGCUACGAUCCGUAACUGGUCUGAGAGGAUGAUCAGUCACACUGGAUCUGAGACACGGUCCAGACUCCUACGGGAGGCAGCAGUGGGGAAUAUUGGACGAUGGGCGAAAGCCUGAUCCAGCCAUGCCGCGUGUGUGAAGAAGGUCUUCGGAUUGUAAAGCACUUUAAGUUGGGAGGAAGUGCAGUAAGUUAAUACCUUGCUGUUUUGACGUUACCAACAGAAUAAGCACCGGCUAACUUCGUG